GUCCUCUGACUCUCUUCGGUGACGGGUAUUCUUGGGUGGAUAAUACGGAUUACGUUGUUAUUGCUUAAGAAUACGCGUAGUCGAGGAGAGUACCAGCGGC
rnacentral:pre_miRNA from 10 species